rnacentral:rRNA from 1 species
CCUACGGGGGGCAGCAGUGGGGAAUAUUGGGCAAUGGAGGCAACUCUGACCCAGCAACGCCGCGUGAAGGAUGAAGGUCUUCGGGUUGUAAAGUUCUUUGAUGGGGGAUGAGCACAAUAACGUUACCCCUGUAUCAGGCAAGGCCGAACUACGUGCCAGCAGCCGCGGUAAUCCGUAGGGGGCAAGCGUUAUCCGGAGUGACUGGGUGUAAGGGGCGUGCAGGGGGAUAAGCAAGUCGGAGGUGUAAUCCCGGGGCUCACCCGCGGAGCUACCGUCAAAACUAUUAGCCUAGAGUGUCGGAGGGGUAAUCGGAAUUCCUAGUGUAGCGGUGGAAUGCGUAGAUAUAAGGAAGAACAUCAGGGGCGAAGGCGAAUUACUGGACGGUAACUGACAGUGAGGCACGAAAGCGUGGGGAGCAAACAGGAUUAGAUACCCUUGUAGUC